rnacentral:lncRNA from 1 species
AAGAUUUAAUACUAUUAUAUUCUCACAUGUUGUUAUUUCUUUCUCACUUAUCCUUUAUUGCAUUCCAAAAAAAAAAGUUGUUGUAAAAUCAUUCUACUUCUUUCUUUCGUCAAUAGUAAAUGAAAAUCUGGGGAACAUCAUUUAAGAGGAACAGUAAAAAUCAAACAACAAUUCUGGAAUGGUGUAUUUGGAUUUGAGAAUGAAGAAAAACCGCAAUUUGUC